CAUGUAUCAGUACUUCAUUUAUUCUUAUGGCCAAAUAAUAUUCCAUUAUAUGGAUAUAGUACGGUUUAUUUAUUCAUUUAUCUUUGAUGGACAUUUGGGUUGCUUACACUUUUUGGCUGUUAUGAGUAAUGCUAACAGAUUUUUUGGAGAAUACAACUUUCAUUUCUCUUAUGUAUAUAGCUAGGAGUGGAAUUGCUGAAUUAUUAGCAGAUGGUUUUAAUGUAGAAAUAUUUGAGUUAAUGAAAUAUUUUCUAUGAAUUAUGAAGGAAGUUAGACCCAAUAAUUGAAACAAGAUCCAUCUCAUAUAUAUUGAUGCCAAGCCUAAGGGAGGAAUUUAUUCAUUUUUUUUGAACUGGUUUAAGCCCAGAGUCAAUCCUUGCCAUUUCUCUAUUGUAGAAAAUCCUUGUUGUAGAUAGAUGACCCUAUUGUGGACAGGUGCACAUUUUCCAAGUAUACCUCUCUCUCUACUCAAUAAACCCAUAGAAUGAUUCCGAAAAUGCAUACUUAAUAUUAGGAAUGUCACAGAGCUAUGAAUAUAUAUAUAUUUGAAUAUAUAUAUAUAUAUUUAUUUCACCUCAGACCUCCUCAGGCAGAAGAAGACAAGAGAAAGACUAUAUUUUCUUAAAGAGAUAUGAGCCAUCUGGAUAAAAUCAACAAAACUUUAUAUUCUAAAGUUGCAAAUAAAAUUAUUAAUAGCAGUCACAUUUAAAGAACAGUAGAGAUGUAUGUAUUAUAGACACACUCUAUUGAAAUUCUAUUCAAAUUCAAUGUGAACUCUAUGUUUGUGUCCAUUUAAUACAAUCUAAAGGCUGGCAUUACUGUUUUAAAGUUAUAAUAGAAUUGUAUAGUUUAUAUACUCUUGUUUUCAAAAAUCAUCUGCUCAUAUGUUUGACUUAAUUGAGAAUUAGUUUUUGAUCAGUAGCACAUCCCUCACCCAAUGUGUGGCAUUAUUUAUUUGGCAAAAUACGACCCACUUCAUAAUGGUCUGCUUUAUGACAUAGCUUCCAGGAACUCACUGUGGUAAAAACUGGGGACUUUCUGCACCACUUGUGUUGGACUGUACCUUCCCUGAUCUUACCAUCAGCUCAGUUGAAGGUGACUCCCCAUUAUCUUAUCAAGGUAGCACUGGCAAGAAUGUGAGGUGGUGACCCUGAGGAUGGUGGCUCAGACUCUUACCACCAAAAAGUACCUGCUAGGGAUAAGACUGUGCUCUUUAUACCUCUCUUCCGAGAAAAAUUUUAAAACUUAACUGUUAUUUACCCAGCUGUUUUAAUCUCCCUGGCUGUUGAUCUUCAACUUUUGAUAAUGUAACUGAAAAGUCAGACACUUUACUUUGUAUUCAAUGCUCUGAAUGUCAGACCUUAAUCCGAACACACUGGAUCCUAAGGUCUUAGCUCAACUAUCUAAUGGCCUUCACACUAAUAAUAAUCCAGAGUUCCUUCUCAAUUAGGAAUCUAUAAAAUACGAUGUCGGCCUAUUUUAUCUAUCGUCAUCAGGAUUAUUAUAUUCAAUUCAAAGGUCCUGUGACACAGGGAAAGAAGAUCACUUUGGAAUGCCUGGAUUCAAGCCCUGGCUCUGCCAUUUGAAAAAUGAAUACUUUGGCUAAGUCACAAUGAAUCAGAACCACAGUUUACUCUUUUACAAGUUGGAGGUAAUUAUAGUGUGGCAGAGACAACAUAGAUGUGUUCACCAAAUCCCAUCUUAUUUUCCUUUUCCUGGACAGCAAAACGACAACAUUUCUCAGCCUUCCUUGCAGUGAGCUUGGAGCCAGGAGAACUGGGCUAUGAAGAAGGAGAUUUAAUUCCUAAAAUACCCCCAUUGGGAGCUCCAACUCUCUCUCCUUCUGCUACGGUAAGCUCAGAGGCCAUGUGUUGAGAUGUUUUCUGUAUUUUCUUAGAUUUUUUAUUUUUCUGUGUGACAUCCAUCAAUCACAGGCCAACUAAUGGCCAAAGCUGUUUACAUCUCCCCUGCGAUCCAGCUUUUACCAGCACAAAAAAAUCAAAUCACAAACAAAACAAUCCUGAGUCCAUACCUCCUACUGCUCUCUUUAUCUAACUCUUACAUACCGAGCCACAAUUUUCCCUGCCCUAAAUCACCCAGGGCUGGGUGCCAGAAAACUAGGGCCCAGAACCCACCUCUAGUAGCCCAGCGCACCCCAACAUUAUUCCAACUAUCCAAUCCUAAGAUGCUUCGCCUGCCCUGCCUUGCCUUUCCAUGAGAAAACAUGAGGAAGCCUCUGGGCCAGACCUUCCCCUCGUGCCUGCUUCUGCCUCCUGACUGACUCUGUGCCUCCCCACGUGGUCCUAUGUGGUGCCCUGUACUUCCCAUUUCCAGAGGACCUGGGGAACUAUACGCUUUUCUUCCAAUGGCAUUGACCAUUCCAUGUUAUCACUCAGUCAUCUUUAUAAAUUAAGACCCAGAACCAAAUUAAGAUAAUGGUUUCGUAAGAUGAAGAAUCUUUGCUGACCAGCAUUGGACUUGUAUGACAGGGUGAUCAACAUUUGUUUUGCUAAAACACUGAAAUUUUAGCAGUUCUUUGUUUCUGCAACUUAGUUGAACAUGUCCCGAGCAAUACAAAAUCCUUACUUUCAAGGUUAUUCUAAUGAUUAGGAAAAAAAACCCAAAUGUAUAUAAAGUACGUAACAGUUCAUAGUACAAUGUAGGAACUCAAAACAUGGUAAUUAUUAUUAUAAUUGUUAUUCAACAACAAUCCCUAAAAAUACUAUGUGUAAAUAAAGCAAACCUGUUUCUCUAUUACCCCAUCAGGUAGAAAAAGAAAAACAGAUUUUUCACCAAAUAUAGAAGACAUGUUUGAGACAUUCUGACUUAAAACAGAAAUUUUGGUGUUAAAAAACUACACUUUGGCAGUUUGUUCAGAGACAGGGAGUCAACCUUCAGAGAAGCUAAAACCAAGGAUAAAAACUUACUCAUUGGGAGUGGCACUCUGUCCUAGACAUUACAGGCAGAAAACAGUAGUGACUUCGAAGGAAGCCCAUAUCAAAAGACAAGUACAGAUGCUCUAAAUUAUAGUCAUCGUUUUGCUUCCAGUUUCUUCUCACAUGGACAAUCUACAUAGCCAGGAAUCAGCAGCAUUUAUUAAGAGGUGCAUAGCCAGUCACUCUGUGCAUCUCUUCACACUUAUAAAGCACCCACAAACAUCCUAAUAGCCAUAUGAGAUGAUCAGGUAAGUCAUUUGCUAUUAGUACACAGAGAAGUGAGUUUCCUGUGUAGAAUGGUAAAUUACGCCCUCCCUCUUUCCACUUCCCUUUCCACUUGCAUUUUCCAUAUGGACUCCAAGAACUUAGAGAUUAUAUUUUUCUCCAAAUGUAAAAUCAGGAAAAGUUUAUAGGCAAUGGAUGUCAUUAGAAUCCACACAGAUAAUUUACAAACUUGCUGCUAACAGUGAAUCCAUGGGCCAGGAGCAUCAACAUCACUUGGAGCUUAGAAAUAUGGAAUCUCAGGCCCCACCCCAGACCUACUAAGUCAGAUUCUGAAUUUCAACAAAAUAUCCAGGUAGUUUCUGUACACAUUAAAAUUUGAGUAGCAUUGCUCUAGAAGAGUAUCUGUAAUUGCGUGACUGAAAUUUGAGGACCUCUAAAUUGAAUCAAGAAAAUAGCAUGUAGACUCAGGGAAAACAAGAGUAGAGUGCAGUUGCAACUAAUAAGCCUGAAUAAAAGUAAAGUUUAUUCUAUCUGAAAGUAGAAGCUGUUAAUGGAAGAGAAACAGACUGCUUAGAAUCUAGACAAGCAUAACCCAAAAAGCAACAUUUUCCUUGUGUCUUCUUCACUAUUUAGCAAAGAUGACCCUCUGAUCUACAAAUCUGUAUAUUUAUUUUAAGAGAUGAUGAGUGCAUUUGACCAUCAAGUUUGGCAUCCCAUGUAAUCUACUUAUAAACAGAUUUUAUGUGUUCCAUGUAACUUUCUGAUUAUAAUUUAACUGCCCAUAUCAUGUAGCUUUUCUAAAUGGAGAGACUGACCAAUCAGACCAAAACAUUCUAGAAUGGCUAUCUAUGCUCAAAAUCUGAUUGAGUGUGGUUAGGACAAACAAGUCUACUUGAGAAAACAGAGGCAUAAAGUCAUUAAGUAACUUGACUAAGUUAUGAAGUGACAGAAACAGGAUUUUAACCCAGGCAGUUCAGUACCACAGCAGAGAGUGCUCUCUUGAUCACCAUGCUACGUGGCCUUCAUCUUGUCUCUCAACAAUUGUUACACAUUGGCCUCUUCCGAUUUCCCCCACCCAUCAUUUUUAGAUUAAGUUCAAAAACACAAGCAGAUCUAAGGUGCCAGGAACUAGAACUUUUGAUAUGACCAAGACAUUAAAGCCUCAAGCCUAAGUAGGUGACAUUUUCUCCUAUGUGGCUGAGGAUGCUCCCUUGGGGUUUGCAGGUUAAACCACAAAUGUGCUGGAUCCUAAGAAGUCAUUCUCUAACUUGUACCUCCUCAGACUUCUUCCUCUGGUCUUGAGAAUGAAAUUAUUCAGAUGCCAAUGCCAAAGGGGGCUAGAAAAAAGACAGGGGGCAGAGUUCACUUUGCUUGAGGCUUAGGUAAAGAGGAGCCCAAUUAACUCAACAAAUAACUCUACUGGGGUUUAUACCAAAAGUUUUAUAGAAAUAUACAACAUGCUUUGCAUUACCAGGAUCUCUAUAUUUCUCUUGGAAUCAACACAGGAAGUGGCAGCAGCUGCACAGAACUCAAGGAUUUUUCAACCCUGGAUAAGUGGUUUGCAAUCCUUUGUCUACCCCAGCACACCUGUAAAAUACAACACAUUUCCUUAAGUUACAGUGGCUCACUUCCAAUAAGAUUUAUAAAAGACUACAUGUUUCCACUGCUUUCCAGCAGAAAAUAAUAAAGCUGUGUUUUUCAGUGCUUUUUAUGCUAUAUAUUAAUACAUGUCAUUGCCCUAGGGAGAAAACUCAAUUUCCAUAAAAAUGAGAAGCAAUGUGAGACUUCAUAUCAACUUAAACUAAACCUGAACACUUGGGUUUAAGAGUUUAAAGAAGCAUAAAAUGAUCUAUUCAUGAGCAAUCAAUUGAGGUGCAAGACACUAUAAGGAACUGUAAGAGAUAUUCAUGAAACACUGAGGGGAGACCAGAGAGUCUACCACAUCAAAAUGAAUUUCAACAACAGUGAUGCUGGCCAGGAAAUUUGAAGGAAGGCAAGCACAAUUGUAAAAGAGGAGAGCUAAAUGGCAUAGAUUAAUCAAUAAAAGUAUUGAUUAAUGAAAAGAAUCAAUGUAUAGCAGCAUAAGAAAUAUGCUACAGUUAUGACAACUGUAAUGCAUGAUAUUUAGGAUAAAAGUUAAAUACAAUUCAAUGAAUAUAAUAAUUUUAUUAAUAACUACUACUAUCAGCUAGAGAGAGUUUAUGUUAUGACUUAUAUAACUAAAAUGUAAAGCAGAAAUAGGCAUCUUUAUAUCUAAAUAUUGGUGCCAAGCAAUUAUUGCUUUAAGAUAAUUUUCAAGGACUUGCUGAACCAAAUCACUGAAUCACCAAAUUGUUGUCCAGAAUUUAACAAAUUGUCAAAUAAGUUUACUUUUCCACCAAGUACCUGUUUCCCAUACCAUUGUUAAGGAUGAGUGGUGUUUUUUUAAUUAAAAAUUUUCCAAUUUGCUAAGCAACAAAACUUUAUUAUUUUAAUUUCUCUUUUAUUUCCAGUGAAAUUGAAUAGCUUUCUGCAUAUUUCUUAGACUUUAAUAUUUGUUUUAGAAAUUUCCUGCUUGUGCCCCCACCAAGUUUUCCAUUGGAAUAAUCAUUUUUAUCUUAUUGGCCUAAAGAAACAUUGGUAUAUUCUGGCUAUUUAUAUACCAUCUAUGUUAAAACAUUUUUCAUGAUUAGAAAUUUUCUUUUUAAUUGUUUUAAAUAGUUCUAUUCUAUUUAAGAGGCAAGUGCUAUCAUUUGAAUGUCUCCUCCAAAAUGCAUGUUGAAAUUCAAUUGCUCUUGUGAUGAUAUUAAAAUGUGGAACCCUUAAAAGCUGAUUAGGCCAUGAAUAUUCCACAUUCAUGAAUAGAUUAAUGUCAUUAUCUCA